AGAGUUUGCUUCUGGCUCAGGAUGAACGUUGGCGGUGUGCCUAAUACAUGCAAGUCGAACGGUGACGAUUUUGUAGCAAUACGAAUGAAAUCAUAGUGGCGAACGGGUGAGUAACGCGUUGGUGAUCUGCCUCGAAGUGUGGAAUAACUUCCCGAAAGGGUAGCUAAUACCGCAUAGUCUCUCAAGGUUUAGAAAAUUGAGAGUAAAGGAUUUAUUCGCUUCGAGAGGAGCCUGCGUCCCAUCAGCUAGUUGGUAGGGUAAUAGCCUACCAAGGCAAUGACGGGUAGGGGACCUGAGAGGGUGGCCCCCCACAAUGGAACUGAAACACGGUCCAUACACCUACGGGUGGCAGCAGUAGGGAAUAUUAGAAAUGGGCGAAAGCCUGAUCUAGCAACACCGCGUGUGCGAUGAAGGCCUUCGGGUUGUAAAGCACUUUUUGGAGGGAAUAGGAAGGAAGGUACCUCCAGAAUAAGUCUCGGCUAACUACGUGCCAGCAGCCGCGGUAACACGUAGGAGGCAAACGUUAUCCGGAUUCACUGGGCGUAAAGCGCGUGUAGGUGGUUCUGUAAGUAGGGCGUGAAAGCUCCCGGCUCAACUGGGAGAGGCCGUACUAAACUGCAGAGCUAGAGGAUGGUAGAGGGAGGUGGAAUUCCAGGUGUAGUGGUGAAAUGCGCAGAUAUCUGGAGGAACACCAGUGGCGAAGGCGGCCUCCUGGACCAUUCCUGACACUCAGACGCGAAAGCUAGGGUAGCAAACGGAAGUAGAGACUCCGGUAGUCCUAGCCCUAAACGAUGCAGACUAGGCGUCGGCGGUUUAAUCACCGUCGGUGUCCAAGCUAACGCGAUAAGUCUGCCGCCUGAGGACUACGGCCGCAAGGCUAAAACUCAAAGGAAUUGACGGGUCCCCGCACAAGCAGCGGAGCGUGUGGUUUAAUUCGAUGCUCCGCGAAGAACCUUACCUGGGUUUGAACUGUGCUUGACAGGUGUAGAGAUACGCUCUCCCUUCGGGGCAAGUACAGAGGUGCUGCAUGGUUGUCGUCAGCUCGUGUCGUGAGAUGUUGGGUUAAGUCCCGCAACGAGCGCAACCCCUACUCUCUGUUGCUAUCAGGUAAUGCUGGGCACUCUGAGGGAACUGCCGGUGACAAACCGGAGGAAGGUGGGGACGACGUCAAAUCAUCACGGCCCUUAUGACCUGGGCUACACACGUAAUACAAUGGCCGUUUAACAGCAGGAAGCGAAGCCGCGAGGCGGAGCAAAACCCCAAAAACGGUCUCAGUUCGGAUUGCAGGCUGCAACUCGCCUGCAUGAAGUCGGAAUUGCUAGUAAUCGCAGAUCAGCAUGCUGCGGUGAAUAAAAGGCCGGGUCUUGCACA
rnacentral:rRNA from 1 species